ensembl:lncRNA
AUUUUAGUAGCACCCCCGUCCCAGACCCCAACUUUUGUCACUUCCCUGACCCCUAAGUAGCAUAGCCCAGUGUCACCCUGACCCCUAAGCAGUGUCAUUUUAACCUUAGAUUCCUGAUUAACUUACUUGACUGGCCUGCUAUGCACGGUAGGGUCGCCUGGAUCAACCCACCACACCCAUCUAUUUAAAACUGUUGCCUCUCAGAGCACAAGAUUCUAAGAUUCCUCCUCAAUUCCGCCUGUACAAAGUCUCCACCACUGGCUUCUAGAAUGCUCUGUUCUCCAUGGCGCUUGUAAUUAUCUACGCAUGCGUUGGUUUCUGGCCACUGUUUUGCUCUGACUACUGGACUGGUCGAUUCUUGAGGUCUUACGACUUUCUGUUUGCCACAUAUUAAGGAAUGGGACUACUAUUUAUUCAAUCAAGUUAAUUCAUAAGUUAAUUCUGUGAGUUGUUUUUUUUUUUUUCCAGACUGUCCAGGUGGCCUGUGAGGCCCCCAAAGUUGCUUGAGGCCCAGCGUGAACCCCAGGUCAGGAGACAAGAAGUAUGCAGAGAAGAAAAUCUGCAGUCAUUCCCGGGACAGAGGGUGGAUCUCCCUUCCCAGUCAUCACUGUUAUCUGUUAUUACUUGUACAAGGAGGGGGCAUAGGAAUCUAGUUAUAGCUUUCUCAGACUUGUAAGUUCUGUUUACCUUCCGAACAGACUUCCCUCUCCCUCCGGGAGCCAGAAACCGUUACCCACAAUCACACACCGAGCUUUGGAGGCCAAGACUUGCACUCCAUUGGUCCCAGCUUUCCCAGUAACUGUUGUCAUAAGCACGUGACCAUAUACGUGUGCUACCACGCCUGGUUUGUAAUGUUUAGAUUUAUUUUACGUGUACGAGUGUUUUGCCUGUAUGCAUGUACAUAUACCACAUGCAUGCCUGCUGUCCAAAGAAGCCGGAAGAGGGUGUGGGAGCUCCGGAACUGGAGAUGUAGAUGAUCUUGAGCCAUUGUGUGGGUGUUGGGAACCAACCCCGUAUCCUCUACAGAAGCAGCAAGCGCUCUUAACGCCAGCCACCUCUCCAGCCCCAGGGCAUUUUGGUGAAGAACCAGAUAUGGUUUUUGAUGUGGUUGUAAGAGUCACAGCCGUGUGGGGGGGGGGGGGGCGGGUUUCCAAUUUGUGAGAGUCCCUCCCUCUCUCUGUGGAAGAGAGGACAAAGCUUGCUCCACGCAUACUGGGCGCCUAGAGCCCCGCCCACUUUUGCUUUAGAACCGAACCUGAGUUUAUGCAUCCGGUAGGCUCAGUCCCAACUGCAGGACUCCAUCAUUGCCGCCCCAGUCUCCAAAAUGUCCGUACAGAUCAACCCCGAGAGUGAAGUGAAUCCAACAGUGACAUCGACAGCGUAGACUAAUAUGUUAAAACGCUGGCUGCAGAGAAGAACCCGCUGCUCUAAGAAGGUUCCGCUAUCACGAAUGGGACUUCCGUUCUGUGUUCCCCCGUUCAAGAGAGCCGGAGACACUUGGCUGAGCUUUUUAAAUCUUUCUUUAACUGAUAUCUCACUUGUUAAAAUCUGUUGUCUGUUAUGUACACGGUAUGGCCAUAGGCAUCAAAUCUGUAUGUGACUACAUCAGGGCAUCGUGGCCCAAAACCUAGUAGCAGUCUUCAUAAGGUGAAACAGGGGGAUUCCAAGUUCAAGACCAGCCUGGAUUCCUUAGUAAGAUUCUAUCUCAAAAAAAUAAAGAUAUUUGGG